rnacentral:rRNA from 1 species
GUUAUGUUCUUUAAAUUUAAAAAAUUUGGCGGUAUUUUAGCCUAUUAGAGGAACCUGUUUAUUAAUUGAUAAUCCACGAUUAAUUUUACUUGUUUUUGUAAUUCAUAUAUCGCUGUCAUGAAUAUAUUUAAAAAUUUAUUUUCUUUUUUUAUUUUUAUAAUUUAUGUUAAGUCAAGAUGCGGUUUAUAAAUAAGUAUAUAAUGGGUUACAUUAAAUUUUAUUUAUAGAUUUGAAAUGAAAAUUAAAAUGAAAUUGGAUUUAAUAGUAAAUUUAUUUAUUUAAUUAAUAUGAAUAAAGAUCUAAAAUAUGUACAUAUUGCCCGUCAUUCUUAUUAAAAAUAAGACAAGUCGUAACAAAGUAAAUGUACUGGAAAGUGUAUUUAGAAAGAAAAAAAUUAAAAAAA